UGGUAGUGUAUUGGACAACCAUGGCGUUUACGGGUAACGGAGGAUUAGGGUUCGAUUCCGGAGAGGGAGCCUGAGAAACGGCUACCACAUCUAAGGAAGGCAGCAGGCGCGUAAAUUACCCAAUCGCGACUCGCGGAGGUAGUGACAAGAAAUAACGGACUGAGGUUAUGCCUCAGGAUUGCAAUGAGUAGAAUCUAAACCCCUUUACGAGGAUCCAUUGGAGGGCAAGUCUGGUGCCAGCAGCAGCGGUAAUUCCGGCUCCAAUAGCGUAUAUUAAAGUUGUUGCAGUUAAAAAGCUCGUAGUUGAAUUUCUGCACGUGCCCGGUUGUGGCUUCGGUCAGGCCGUGGCGCGUGCAUCCGUCUGCAAACCUAGACCGGCCUUCAUUGGUCGACUAGGGGAGUAGACCUUUUACCUUGAAAAAAUUAGAGUGUUUCUAGCAGGCAAUUGCUUGAAUACAUUAGCAUGGAAUAAUAGAAUAGGACUUUUGUCCAUUUCGUUGGUUAUUGGACAUUAGUAAUGAUUAAAAGGGACAGUUGGGGGCAUUAGUAUUUAAUUGUCAGAGGUGAAAUUCUUGGAUUUAUUAAAUACUAACUUAUGCGAAAGCAUUUGCCAAGGAUGUUUUCA
rnacentral:rRNA from 1 species